GGUUAGGGUAAGGGUUAGGUGUAGGGUUAGAUUUUAUGGUUGAUUAAGGGUUAAGGUUAGGGUUAGGUGUAGGGUUUGAUUUUAUGGUUGAUUAAGGGUUAAGGUUAGGGUUAGGUGUAGGGUUUGAUUUUAUGGUUGAUUAAGGGUUAGGGUAAGGGUUAGGUGUAGGGUUAGAUUUUAUGGUUGAUUAAGGGUUAAGGUUAGGGUUAGGUGUAGGGUUAGAUUUUAUGGUUGAUUAAGGGUUAAGGUUAGGGUUAGGUGUAGGGUUUGAUUUUAUGGUUGAUUAAGGGUUAAGGUUAGGGUUAGGUGUAGGGCUAGGUUCUAUUUUGAAUCAUUUACAUUCAACAUAGGGUUAAGUUAAAUUUAAUAGACAUUCAAUUCAGUGU